AUUCCAGCUCCAAUAGCGUAUAUUUAAGUUGCUGCAGUUAAAAAGCUCGUAGUUGGAUUUCGGAUGGGAUUUGCCGGUCCGCCGUUCCGGUGUGCACUGGCCAGUCUCAUCUUGUUGUUGGGGACUAGCUCCUGGGCUUCACUGUCCGGGACUAGGAGCUGACGAGGUUACUUUGAGUAAAUUAGAGUGUUCAAAGCAAGCCUACGCUCUGAAUACAUUAGCAUGGAAUAACAUGAUAGGACUCUGGCUUAUCUUGUUGGUCUGUGAGACCAGAGUAAUGAUUAAGAGGGACAGUCGGGGACAUUCGUAUUUCAUUGUCAGAGGUGAAAUUCUUGGAUUUAUGAAAGACGAACUUCUGCGAAAGCAUUUACCAAGGAUGUUUUCAUUA
rnacentral:rRNA from 1 species